GAUGAACGCUAGCUAUAGGCUUAACACAUGCAAGUCGAGGGGAAACGGCAUUAUGUGCUUGCACAUUCUGGACGUCGACCGGCGCACGGGUGAGUAUCGCGUAUCCAACCUUCCCUCCACUCGGGGAUACCCCGUUGAAAGACGGCCUAAUACCCGAUGUUGUCCACAGAUGGCAUCUGACGUGGACCAAAGAUUCAUCGGUGGAGGAUGGGGAUGCGUCUGAUUAGCUUGUUGGUGCGGGUAACGGCCCACCAAGGCGACGAUCAGUAGGGGUUCUGAGAGGAAGGUCCCCCACAUUGGAACUGAGACACGGUCCAAACUCCUACGGGAGGCAGCAGUGAGGAAUAUUGGUCAAUGGACGUAAAGUCUGAAACCCAGCCAAAGUAAGCGUGCAGGAAUGACGGGCCCCUAAUGGGGUGUAAA
rnacentral:rRNA from 1 species